rnacentral:rRNA from 1 species
GGGCCCGCACAAGCGGUGGAGCAUGUGGUUUAAUUCGAUGCAACGCGAAGAACCUUACCAAGGCUUGACAUACUACAAAUUUCUUUGAGAAAGGAAAGUGCCUUCGGGAAUGUAGAUACAGGUGGUGCAUGGCUGUCGUCAGCUCGUGUCGUGAGAUGUUGGGUUAAGUCCCGCAACGAGCGCAACCCUUGUUUUUAGUUGCCAAUUUAUUGGGUUUUCUAGAAAGACUGCCGGUGACAAACCGGAGGAAGGUGAGGAUGACGUCAAGUCAGCAUGCCCCUUAUGCCUUGGGCUACACACGUGCUACAAUGGCUAAGACAAAGAGUUGCGAACUUGUGAAAGUCAGCUAAUCUCAUAAACUUAGCCCAAGUUCGGAUUGUAGGCUGCAACUCGCCUGCAUG